ACGAAGGGGGCUAGCGUUGUUCGGAAUUACUGGGCGUAAAGCGCACGUAGGCGGGUCCUUAAGUCGGGGGUGAAAUCCUGGAGCUCAACUCCAGAACUGCCUUCGAUACUGAGGAUCUCGAGUCCGGGAGAGGUGAGUGGAACUGCGAGUGUAGAGGUGAAAUUCGUAGAUAUUCGCAAGAACACCAGUGGCGAAGGCGGCUCACUGGCCCGGUACUGACGCUGAGGUGCGAAAGCGUGGGGAGCAAACAGGA
rnacentral:rRNA from 1 species